GUGAGUAGUUCAGAGUUUGAUCCUGGCUCAGGACGAACGCUGGCGGCGUGCCUAACACAUGCAAGUCGAACGGGGUUAUUUCUUCGGAGAUAACUUAGUGGCGAACGGGUGAGUAACGCGUGAGAAACCUGCCUUUCAGUGGGGGACAACAGUUGGAAACGACUGCUAAUACCGCAUAAUGUUAUUUGAGGGCAUCCUCGGAUAACCAAAGCUUAAUGUGCUGAAAGAUGGUCUCGCGUCUGAUUAGCUAGAUGGCGGGGUAACGGCCCACCAUGGCGACGAUCAGUAGCCGGUCUGAGAGGAUGAACGGCCACAUUGGGACUGAGAUACGGCCCAG
rnacentral:rRNA from 1 species